CUGCGAAUAUUCUCGCUGUCCUGAUUUUGUGAUAAUAAACAUUCGCUAUAUUAGAAACCAUGCAUGUGCCCCCGACCUAGUUUUUCUCCCUAGGUCUCGUUUUUAGAAUGCUGGUGAUAAAC
rnacentral:snoRNA from 1 species